AUUGAACGCUGGCGGCAGGCUUAACACAUGCAAGUCGAGCGAGCGGCGGACGGGUGUGUAAUGUCUGGGAACCUGCCUGAUGGAGGGGGAUACCUACUGGAAACGGUAGCUAAUACCGCAUACCAUCAGAUGUGCCCAGAUGGGAUUAGCUAGUAGUGGGGGUAAGGGCUCACCAAGGCCACGAUCCCUAGCUGGUCUGAGAGGAUGACCGGCCAAACUGGAACUGAGAAACGGUCCAGAAUCCUACGGGAGGCAGCAGUGGGGAAUAUUGCACAAUGGGCGAAAGCCUGAUGCAGCAAUGCCGCGUGUGUGAAGAAGGCCUUCGGGUUGUAAAGCACUUUCAGCGAGGAGGCGUUACUCGCAGAAGAAGCACCGGCUAACUCCGUGCCAGCAGCCGCGGUAAUUC
rnacentral:rRNA from 1 species